UGCAAUCGAGCGACGGCCCUUCGGGGUACGGAGCGGUGGACGGGUGAGUAACGCGUAGGAACCUACCCCUUGGCGGGGAAUAGCCAGCCGAAAGGUUGGGUAAUACCGCAUAAUCUCUUCGGAGCAAAGAGCAUAACUGCUCACCGAGGGAGGGGCCUGCGUCCUAUCAGCUUGUUGGUGAGGUAACGGCUUCACCAAGGCGAUGACGGGUAGGGGGCGUGAGAGCGUGUUCCCCCACAAGGUCACUGAGACACGGGGCCUACACCUACGGGUGGCAGCAACUAGGAAUAUUGCGCAAUGGGCGAAAGCCUGACGCAGCGACACCGCGUGUGGGAAGAAGCCUUUCGGGGUGUAAACCACUGUGGCAGGGGAAGAAGAUCUGACGGUACCCUGCUAGAAAGCACCUGCAAACUACGUGCCAGCAGCCGCGGUAAGACGUAGGGUGCAAGCGUUAUCCGGAAUUACUGGGCGUAAUGCGUACCGUAGGCGGUCUAAUGCGUCCGAUUUGAAAUCCCACGGCUCAACCGUGGAAACGGGUCGGAUACGGUUAGACUUGAGUUUGUUAGGGGAAGCCGGAAUUGACGGUGGAGGGGUGAAAUCCGUUGAUAUCGUUAGGAACACCAAGGGCGAAGGCAGGCUUCUGGGACUAUACUGACGCUAAGGGACGAAAGCUAGGGUAGCAAACCGGAUUAGA
rnacentral:rRNA from 1 species